CCCUGAGGAGGAUAAGGAUGGUUCGGCAACAACAGCAAAAAGAGAUGAAUCACUCAGUUGAGAACAAUGUGAUGAGUGCACCGAGAGAUCCAAUACAGGGAGCUUUCCUUUUUCAAAGAUCAUUAGAAGGACAGAAGACAAAAAACCUAUCAUCUGGGUCAGGUGGUCACUCUGCAGCACAAGGAGUACUAUCCCACAUUGGAUCUGAUGUUAAUAUUUCCCUUAGACAUGGUGCUUCUUCAGUGGCGUCCCUGCACAACAUGGAAAGUCUUGAUGGAUCACACUGCCCUGGAGGAGGAGGAGGAGGAGGAGGAGGAGGAGGAGGAGGAAGAGGAGGACCUCGUUCACAAUGACGACCACGCCUGAAACCUGCUGUUCAUGAAUUUUGUUAUUUUGCAAUAAAGCACACUGUUCAAAAUCCUGUUUUUAUUUUCUUUGUUACUGAUUUUGUGUUGAAAGAAAGUUUUUCUGCUGAUAAAGUAUAAAGUCUAACGUUUACCAAAUAAUUCCUUCAGAAUGAUGAAUGUUUCUGUACCAGAAGACUGUUUAUGGGAUGUUUUGGAGUAUAUAUUCAAUGUAUUGACAAGGAGAAUUCACUGCACAUCUUCAGAAACAUCUGCAAACUGCAUCUAAAACGUAUUACAAAAAGCGUUUUGAAAAGGUUGAAUAAAUGUGGCACAGUGAACCUUUCUGCCCUGGUUUUCAAGAAGGAACAUGUAAUUUCAAUGCAGACACACUAGGUGUCGCUGUUCUGUCUGGUCGCUGCAGCACAGCUUUAAUAUUGAGCCACGCUCUGAUUGGUUACAGAACGAUGAAAGCGGAGUGAAGCGCGCACUUCUGGUCCUAAAUGAAAGUGUUCCGGUAAGCAACAUAUAAAGUAAAUCAGAAAUCCAAACCGCUGCCGUGUAGCUGGAAUGAAGUCUCCACGAGGCUAUUCCAAAAGGCCGAUCUGGCCCAUGGCAGUGUUAAAGUAUGAAUGACAUGACAGCUAGGGGAAAACAAGGAGGGAGACUGAAUCAACACUAAUUCCAGUUUUCUUGUUUCAUGUCACUGUCAGAAUAAAACACCGCGCCGGAGAAUUAUUAUUAAAACACACUGAGGACUUCGUCCCGAUGAAAUUGCAAAGGGAGGAUUUAUUUUCCGUCUUUUCUUGUGAUACUUGACAGAAGACAUGACAGCACCGCGCUGUAUCCACAAACAUGUGACUGCAGCAUCCAUUUAACAAGCAACAAACGCAUUUUGAAUACGUUACAGAUCAACGUAACGCCGGACCAAUUACGUUUCUGUUGCAACGUGAUUAAAAAUGCAUUUUAGUUGUCUGAGAACGUAAUUUUGUGGAGACAGGGUUGCUCAUAGUGAUGCUUGCUCUGUCUGGCACAAUAACAGUCAAACAUCCAUCAGGUCCUCCUCAGACUCUCACAGAGUUUCAGUUUAUGUGGACGUUCCUGCUGGAACUCUGUCCUUCUACAGAGUCUCCUCUGACUCUCUGAUCCACCUCCACACCUUCAACACCACAUUCACUAAAACUCUCUAUCCUGGAUUCUGGUUCCUCAGUGUUUCUGUGCUGAGUUGAGUCUCCAGAGUCUCCUCCUGGUACAGAAACAGUGUUGAACAGAUAGUUGAGUCUCUCCGUGACUCUGUCCCUCACAAACAUGUUUUCACAUUCAUGGAUUAAAUGUGUUUCUUUGUCAAAUCCUUCUAAAUGAUUCCUUGUAAACUUGUUCCUCUUCAAAGAUGGAAGUUGUGAUUAUUCCAGGA